GACGUCCCACGUCAAAAGCUCAAAACAAUCAACUUGUUGUCAUCAUGUUUUUCAGACACGGUCAUGUUAGAGAUUAAUAAUGCUUUGUUCGAGUUUUCAGCGAAAGCUGCUGCUAUUAUGACCUAGGAAUCGCUUGCCAGGUUAGAAUUGAAUCUCUCAGAAUGGGUUUACCUUCAAAUUUAGAGGUCCAUCGGAAUUCCGUUACAAAUCCAUGCAUGGCAGUUCUUCUUGCUGCAAUCUUGCGAAUCCUUGACAAUAUGACUUUGUCAAGUGGAAUUAUUGGGAAGAAUAGUAAGGCUGAGUUCCAAGCUCCUUGUCGCACCGCCGGAUAUCCCAGAGAGAUUCCACCAUUGCAAUGGUACCGGCGAACAGUUCGUCAAAUGGCAAUUGCGGGAUUUCUGCCAUUCAUUCUUGUAUACACCGAACUUUACUAAAUCUUUGCUAGUGUGUGGUGUCAUAGGAUUUAUACCAUUUACAGCAUCUUGCUCAUCAUCUUUAUUACUCUUCUGAUAGUCACCGCUUUAAUUACGGUGGCAUUGAUUCAUUUACAACUUGCUGCUGAGGACCACAGCUGGUGGUGGAGGUCUUUUCUCUCUGGUGGAUCAACCGGCUCAUUUAUACAUGCCUCC